UGAAACCCUAAAACACAUAUUCUUCCGCAGGCCUCCUUCACUCCACUUUCCGCUCCUCCCCAUCAUGUCUCUUACAGCCGCUCUUCUUCUGGCACCCUUAUCCCCCCACCAGCCGUGGAGGAAAGCGAAAGGGAAUACUGGUCAACCAUUUAAGAAAUUUGAUUUUGCGCAAAUUUGAAAUGGUGAUCGGAAAUGCGGUUACGAUGGGUGUUCGGGAGCUCUGAAAUGGAAAGAUUAGAUAUGUUUCUCAGUGCUUGGUUCUGAGGAUAGUGCCGUUUCCGUUCAGGAAUUGCAGGUGAACGAAGAAGAAGAAGAUAAAGAGCAAGAAGAAGACCCUCAAUUCGGUUUCGGCCAUUCAUGGAGGUGGAGAUGUUGGCAAUCACAACGAUCUGGAAAUGUUCACUUUGGUGGAAGCGGAGAGCCGGAGACUAUGCCAGAAGACCCUGACUGGUGUGCAUUAAGGAUCCUUGGUUAUGCAGGGCCACAGGGUGCUUGGUAUCCUGUUGAAACGGAUUUCUAACAGUUUGUGCAUGUGUGUCCAGAUUAUACUUUGCCUCUCCUAGUCUCCCUUUUCUCCACAACAAAUGAGAAUCACACAAUCAUUUAUCCAAAUAUCAUUGCAUACAUAUAAAAAAUGGGAGAAGUUCAUACACUAAAACCUUACCUUACCUCUUGUUUCUUGUCUUUCCCUUUGCUUUAGUGUAAAUAUGGGAUUUUACCUUGAAACAUGUAUUUACAGGCAGCUUCUAAGUAUUUACAGUCGGCUUCUAAAUGAAAAUUCAAUGUUUUUAAAGCAUUUACGUAA